rnacentral:rRNA from 1 species
GCGGAUGAAGGGAGCUUGCUCCUGGAUUCAGCGGCGGACGGGUGAGUAAUGCCUAGGAAUCUGCCUGGUAGUGGGGGAUAACGUCCGGAAACGGGCGCUAAUACCGCAUACGUCCUGAGGGAGAAAGUGGGGGAUCUUCGGACCUCACGCUAUCAGAUGAGCCUAGGUCGGAUUAGCUAGUUGGUGGGGUAAAGGCCUACCAAGGCGACGAUCCGUAACUGGUCUGAGAGGAUGAUCAGUCACACUGGAACUGAGACACGGUCCAGACUCCUACGGGAGGCAGCAGUGGGGAAUAUUGGACAAUGGGCGAAAGCCUGAUCCAGCCAUGCCGCGUGUGUGAAGAAGGUCUUCGGAUUGUAAAGCACUUUAAGUUGGGAGGAAGGGCAGUAAGUUAAUACCUUGCUGUUUUGACGUUACCAACAGAAUAAGCACCGGCUAACUUCGUGCCAGCAGCCGCGGUAAUACGAAGGGUGCAAGCGUUAAUCGGAAUUACUGGGCGUAAAGCGCGCGUAGGUGGUUCAGCAAGUUGGAUGUGAAAUCCCCGGGCUCAACCUGGGAACUGCAUCCAAAACUACUGAGCUAGAGUACGGUAGAGGGUGG